GGGAUCCUGGCUUCAGCUGAAGGGUGCAAGUGAUAAGGUAUAAGAUGCCACAGUCUUUACACAGAUAGGCUAUCAGACGUUGCCUUGCCAUGAUAAGGCUCAACAGACAUAGUUCCAGACCAAGCAAGCAGAAUGAAACUGGGGCCACCUGUGCAUGAGCUGUCAGGAAACGUCGUGCUUUCAUUUGAACAGCAGGCAGCUAUCAAAACAGCAAUAAGAGAGGCUAUCAGGCUU